GCAGUCGCCACGGGAAUACGAAGGGUGCAAGCGUUAAUCGGAAUUACUGGGCGUAAAGCGUGCGUAGGCGGUUUGUUAAGUCUGCUGUGAAAUCCCCGGGCUCAACCUGGGAAUGGCAGUGGAUACUGGCAAGCUAGAGUGUGUCAGAGGAUGGUGGAAUUCCCGGUGUAGCGGUGAAAUGCGUAGAGAUCGGGAGGAACAUCAGUGGCGAAGGCGGCCAUCUGGGACAACACUGACGCUGAGGCACGAAAGCGUGGGGAGCAAACAGGAUUAGAUACCCCCGUAGUCCCUGUCUCUUAUAC
rnacentral:rRNA from 1 species